AUGAGAGCGGCGAGGCAGAGAGUUGUUAACCCCGCGAGUGCUGGCCACGGUAGUUUAGCUAUAGCAGUGAAAGUCACUCUAGGAGGCUGCUUCAUUUGUGUUUUUUUGUGGUUGGGUUUAAUCCACGGUGCACAUCAGUGGUGAAAGAAAGCGACGGUGCUCGUCAACUGAAGACGACACCAUGGAGCCGUCAAACAAGAAACAGCAAAAUCCAUAUAAGCAAGAUUUAGGAACUUCGACUAAAAAGAAGAAGGAUAGAGAAAAUAGAAACUCAAUAUCAAAUGAAUUAGCUCAUGACUGGACUCAAAAAAAUGAGUUUGUGAUAGUGUCAGUGCAUGUCGGGCAGGGUCAUGAUAAUCGCACUGUCAAUAUCAACACCGAUACUACUCAGCUGGCAGUCUCUUUAUCGGAUGGCAGAAAAUUCUCUACGCAACUAUGUGAAACUGUUGUGCCAGAAGCAACGUCCGUGUCGUACAAAGGGGCUCGGUGCAUUGUGAAACUUCUUAAAAAUGACCCCACUAUUAAUUGGCCACAUUUAGAGCCUCCAAAGAAGCAACCAUCAGAAAAAAUAAUAUCGACCAAGGCCAAAUCUUCGUCGCCAUCGCCAGGAAAAACCCCAGAGAAGAAAGAGGUUGAUGUUGAUAUCAAAGUAGAUAACAAUACCAUGUCUGUAUCAAAUGUGAAAAUUGAUUAUGUGGAGAGAGAUGCAGAGUCACUUUUAGUCGUAUUCCUCUAUAUCAAAAAUAUUAACAAGGAGACUUCUUUUGUUACCUUCACUGAAGAUGCAAUAUCGGCACACUUUUCAACAAGUGAUCCUCGUUUUCUCCAGCAGUACCCCGACAGCACUGAAGACACUAUAUUUGAGUGGGAAUUAUCCCUCAAAGACAAAGUUGUACUAGACGAAUGUAAAUUUAAAGUCAAUCAUAAUAAUAUUGAAAUAAAAUUAAAAAAACAAGUUAACAAAAAAUGGGGAGCUUUGACCGCUGUUACUCCGGACUCUGCUUUGGGCCAUAAAGUUGCAAAAAAUACGUGGAUGGCUGCCAGCAAGACAGAAACUCCUACGUUGUCUAAUAUUCCACCAGCUCCACCCAUUCCACCGUCUCUAGAGAACAAAAAACCGAUGUGCCUGGUUUCACCUGUAAGCAAAGGAAUGAGAGGCGGCCCGUCCACUUCCUUUUCCUCUUCGUCAUCUAUGUGUGAAGGUGGCAGUGUUACUCCUCGUGGAACAACUGGUUUGGACAACAUAGGGAACACCUGUUUUAUGAACAGUGUGCUUCAGUGCCUAGUCAACACACAAGAACUCAGGGAAUAUUUCUUAGAUUUUAACUUCCAGCAGGACAUCAACAAAGACAACCCACUUGGCAUGGGAGGUAAACUGGCCAUAUCAUAUGCCAUUCUCAUGAGACUGCUAUGGUCUGGCACUAUCCCCUCGCAUGCACCCACCAAACUUAAAUCUAUGAUGUCCAUGAAAGCCAACCAAUUUUCUGGGUUUGCCCAGCACGACGCUCAAGAAUUUAUGGUAGAGCUGCUGGACGGUUUGCACGAGGAUUUGAACCGCAUCAAGAAGAAGCCGUAUAUGGCUGAGCCUCCAGACCUUGAUGGGUGGCCAGACAAGAAGGCAGCAGAUGAAUCCUGGAAACUACACAAGAUGCGCAAUGACUCCAUAAUAGAUGAUCUCUUUAAAGGCCAGUUCAAGUCUACUCUAAGAUGCCAUGAAUGUAACAAAGUGUCAGUCAAAUUCGAUGAAUUCUGCUGCCUCUCUGUACCCAUACCAAAAGACCAAAAGGUUGUCCAGGUGAUCUUUUUUUGGAAAGAUCCUUACCAAAAGCCCAAGAAAUUUUUUAUCAGAGUGCCUGCCAAUGCUGCCAUUGAGGAACUAAAGCAAGAGCUGUUUGAUCGCACUGGUGUUCAAGUCUCUUCUAUACAGGUGUUUGAAAUGUUUAAAUCAAAAAUUCACAAAAUAUUUGCCAAGGGAUCAACACUUUCAUCAGUGGUCCCCACUGAUACUUUGAUGGCCUUUGAAGUUUAUAGUCCACAGCAGAUUGGAGAAGCAGUAGUAGAAGUGGCAGUGGUGCAGCGGAUGAUGAUCCCCAGUCCUCCAACUCGUUGUGCCUAUUGUUCUAGAAAUGCUGUUUCAGGAAGUAAACUGCGCCGCUGUACUAAAUGUUUCCGGGCUGGAUACUGCCACCAAGCUUGUCAGAAGAAUCACUGGCCUAAUCACAAACUACACUGCAAGCUGGUUCCUGAACCUGUUGGGUGUCCGUUCAUUUUGUCUCUACCCGAGAGUCAUGCGACAUACUCUCGCUUGGCCCGCAUCAUGGAGGCGUAUGCACGGUACUCUGUGGAUAUCUUCCAGCCACCUGUGUUUCACAAUUCUUCUCACCGUGGGAGUACAUCUAGCAUAGAGCUCUCGAGUGAAGAAAAUGAUGACAUGGAGGUUGAAGAUGUUGAGCCAGAGGACAAAGUAGAUAGCAGUGAUAUAUUAAUGACUGGUGAGAGCUCUCAAGGAGAUGGUCCAGGUCAUUGGGCAGAUGAAGGUGCUACUGGCAGUGAUGGUGGUGGCUGUGACAGUGGCGGUGGGAGCGACGGCGGUGGAGGUAGUGGUUGUGAUGAACCUCCGCAGCUUUCCACAUCCCCUAGUGUUAGAGCGGUACAACCUCGAGGAAGUGUGCAGUUGCCAUCAGCCACGCAGUUGUUCGUUAUUCGUCCUGUGAACAACCGUGCCCAAAAUAUCGCAUCUUCGGCAGGGGAACCACUCGAGGAUAGAGGAGAUGUGCCUUUGGAUUUAAAAGACAAAUAUUACAUUGCCAUGGACUGGCGAACAAAUGAGAGGCUACCAGUCCACUGUCUUGUACAAAACAAAGAAGUUGAGUGCGAGACUGAAGGCUCAUAUUCAGUGCAGCGUAAUCAGCCCACUAGUUUAGAGGCUUGCAUUGAACUUUUUACUCAACCGGAAAACUUAUCGGAAGGCGAUUCUUGGCGUUGUCCGAGAUGUAAAAAGCCAGUGGAAGCAACUAAGCAAAUGAGUGUGUGGAGGUUGCCCCAUAUUCUUAUUAUACAGCUCAAGAGAUUCUCCUUUAAAUAUGUUCUUUACUCAGACAAGAUUGACAAGUUUGUGCAGUACCCAGUGAGAGGGUUAAAUUUGCUGCCUUACAUGUCAGCCGAGCCUGAAGACGGUCCUGCAGUGUACGAUCUCUAUGGUGUCAUAAACCAUAUGGGUCGUCUCUUAGGCGGCCAUUAUACCUCCUACGCUCGUCUGGUGGCCAAACACGACACUCGUCAGUCUGAGAUUGACUGGAGGUUGUUCGAUGACAGCCGAGUCAACUUCUGCCAGGAAUCUCGUGUGAUCAAUGAACAAGCCUAUCUGCUCCUCUACCGACGAAGAGAUAUGCCAUUCUCCUUGCACAGACCAUUGCCUCCCCCUGCCCCUUCAGCUCUGGAGGAGAAUGGAUUUGAUCAAGGGGCUGAAAUUGAGGAAGCAACACCAAUGUCCAUCUCAUCCACUUCCCAGUUGUCGUCCUCCCAACCUUCCUCCUCCAGUCUUGAAGGAGAGGAACAACUUAGUACUGCUCAGGAAGAACUUGACUAAAUACAGUGAUUUUGCAACAGAAACAAGGUGCAUGUUAGCCCAUGUGUGUCAGUGAUGUUCCAAGAAGUGGCUCACAUUUUUUUAUUUAUUUUGGUUGUGUAAAGUUUGUUGUACAAUUUAAAUUUCUAUAUUUUGUAAACCAUCAUCACCCAUGUGUCUUGAAAUUCCUCAAAAGAAUUUUUAAGACGUGUCCAUACCUGUGAGAUGAAAUAUAUAAUAUAGGUUUUUCCUUUCUGCUGGAGCAUGUGCUGAGUACAUACACUAUAUAUCAGGUUUGCAGCAGGAUUAGUGAAGCAAUUGUCUGGAAACAACAUAGUUACUGCGCAUCACUAAUCUCAUCUGUUUCCCACUCAUCUCGGUGGGAUAUUUCAUAUACCAUCCUUUCAGACAUAUUCAUAUAAUGUUAAUACUCGCAUCUCUCACCACCACCACGUCAUUUUGUGCUUACUCUUCUCAUAUACAUAUGUACUUUCCUUAACCUGUAAACUUUCUUAGAUUAUCUUCACAUUUUUAAUUCCAGACACACUUGAAUAUAUUUUUCAUCCUGAACAAACUUUUAUUAAAGCAUAUAAAUUUCUUGUUUGUGUGUGUGGUAGUAUUUGAUUAUCAAAACCAUUUUCUACGGGAAUUCAUUAAUGCUCGACGUGCUGUUAGAAGUGCAGUACUCGACUGGUGUUUUAACAAUUUGUAAUUUUUACAGUAGUGAAGGAAUUUUGAGAGUAGUGAAGGCUGUAGUAACUUUAUCACACUUUCAUGAAAUGUUUGCCUUUAUAGUAAUAGUUCAUUCCUACUGAUAAUAGUAUUGAUAAAACCUGUUAUCAUGAUUAAGGCUAAGACUUGUCUGGUGCUGUAGACCUGCACACUCGUCUAAAUGUUUCCCUGUGAGAGGCAGGUGACUCGAGUUUGAUUUUCAUGGUUUUAAGUCGCUGAUUAUUUAUAACGUGUUUUGCUAAGAUUCUCGAGAGCUUUUUGCAGAGCCGUGUGGCAACCUUGUGGUUAAUUAACAUGCACAACAAUAUUAUAAAUACCCCUGUAACUCAGUAUAUUUCAUUUGUGCAGAAAAUAUGCCAGAAAGUUGGUUUUUUAAUAAAAUUUUAACAUUUUAGGUAAUGCACUAAGAUACAAUAUUUGUUUUAGACAAAAUAUAUACAUUUAUAUUUUUAACUGAAGGCUUAUGAGAGUAUUAUGAACAAAUACAUUGUCUACAUAAAUAUUGAAACUGGAUUUAGAUUUUAAAGUUUUUCCCCACCUCUUUCUCCAUCAUUGAAUUUGGUAUUCAUAGUAGGAAUACCUUGUAAUAAUGAGAAUUUAAAUAUUCCUGCAUAUUUUUGUGCAUGUGUGAUAACUGGAGAAAAUGAUCACAUGUCAGCUUGGAACUUUGAAAGAGUUUUGGAUACUGAGGUUUGUAGGGCACCAUUUAGAACCGUUUUAACACUAACCGAGAGUGGAGCUUAAACAACAUCUUGAAAAUUAAUAAGCAUAGUUGUACAGUACUAAAUUUGUGCACACAUACAUGUGUGUGUAUUCAACCACUCUCCCAUCCCUUCUCCCUCUUAUCCCUCAUUACUACCCCUCCAUUUACCAAAUCCUGCCUGUGCUCAUUACAUUUCCAUAUUUUACUCCCUUUUCUCCUUAUACCAUCAUAUUAGUAGCCCAAGUCUUGUUGGUAAAACAGCAUUGGUGUUUUAGUCAGUGAACAGUUUUGUGAGUAUUGUGGUGAGCAAUGUGGUGUGGUGUGGGGAAAGAGGUGACCACUAUAGUGCAGAGUGGUGAGCAGUGUGGCAUGAGGUAAGGUGGUAACCUAUUAUUGACUGAAGGAGUGAGAUGUAACACUUUAAGCCCUACCUCCUAGCUCUUUGUACCUAGCACUCUAAUUACCUAUCUCGGCAUUAAAAUGUUCAUAUGAUUUUGUCAAGAUUAGGAUGGAAUUGGCUUCAACCUUUUCAGUGCAUUCCAUUUGCCGAUUACCCAUUUCUUCAACUCGAUUGUGUAUCCAGCUUCCACCAAUGUCCCGUGUUCUUUCUCUCUUUAAUUUAAACUGGAUUUCAUUGUCCACUUUAUCUAUUCUCCCUCAAAAUCUUGCAUGAAGUUAAUAUAUUCCCUCUGUUUCUUCUCUCUUCUUAGAUUGUGAAGGCGAAUUCUCUCAACCGGUCCUCAUAGCUGAGGCACCUCAAUUCUGGUACUAGUUGCAGAAGUCUGAACUUCUAGUUUGUUUAUGCUUCACAAUGUGGAGGUUCCAUGCUGGUGCUGCAGUCAACUAAUGAUCUCACAUGGGCAGUGUAUGAAACUGAAAGCCUUCUUGUUUAGAUUCUUAAAUUACAUUCUUAUGUUUGCUAACUUCUCAUGUGCUAUUGAUGUUAACCUGUUCAUAUGAGCUUCUCGUGUCGGUGUUGGAAUUAAUUCUACUCCCAGGUCUUUUACUCUUAUGGUAUAAUGUAAUUAAAUACAGGACUCCUAUCUUCCUUUCCCAUUUUCAUUACUGUACUUUACAGUUAUUUGCACUGAAUUUCAGCAGUCAUUUAUCUGCCCACUCCUGAAGUUUAAGGUCUUUUUGCAUCUCGACAGUCCUCUUCAGUUCUUGCUCUCCUCAUUAACUUUGUAUCUUCAGCAAAUAUCUGCAGGUAUGAGCUCACUUCCUCUGCGAGAUCAUUUUCAUAGAUUAAAAAGAGCAAUGGUCCUAGGCCAGAGCCCUGGGGAACACAACUUUCCGCUCUUCACAUGCCCGAUAUCUCUCUAUGACCCUCUGCUUCAUGUCUGUCAAGUACUGUACUUGAUCCCGUGAUAUUCUUGUUAUCCCCACUUGUCUCUCCAUCUUACAUGUUGGUCUCGUGAGGAAAUGCAUCGAAAAAAUGUUGGGAGUCUAGGAUGCAGUCUUUCCAUCCUUUGUUCUGUAGUCUAAUUCUGACAGCCUUGUCAUGGAAUUAAAUCGUUUGUUUAGCAUGAUUUUCCCUCUGUACAUUACUUUUUACAUGUGACUUCAGUGGUGCUAUAUAGUCAUACUGGCUUAGUACUUUUUUGUUUUUUAUAAUUACAGUACUUAAAUAUUGGAUUUGAUUUUGGUUCUUGAGUAAUAAAGAUAAAUGGCACCCAAACAGUCAAGGGACAAAAAUGCGUGUCUGCCCAUUUAUAGGUAAUCAGAACAAAAAAAAUGCACGCCACCUUUAAUAUUGGAUAAUCGAGUCCCAUGAGAAAACUGAAUAUUGUAUUCUGUGUAGUAUAGUGGUAACAACACGCACCACUAUCCCCACUUGUAUAUCUAAAAUAUCAAAUUGGUAUACACAUUUGAUCAAAAUAUGCAAAACAUAUUUAAAUGGAGGCAAACUCAUAGAAAAAAUUAAACAAAUAUAUACCCAUAACUAACAUCCAUUUUCCUUCAUUUUAUUUUCAGUUGAUAAAGCCAGAGAGUUCCUCAGCACACACGGUCAACAUUCACGAAUGUUCCUCUUCCCCUUCAUUAUCUUGGAGGAACCUCAUACAUGAACGGCUCACAACUCGCACAAUUCGGCACUCAAAAGUAAACACGCAUAACAGACAAGUCUGUUCUCAGUAGCUGUCAUUUAAUACAUACCCCUGUUAAACUUCUCGUGUUUUCUUGGAUAUUUUUAUAUUUUUAGCUUGCAUAAGUCACCUUGGUGCUUAAGAAAAGUAGUGAUAAUAGCCAAAUGAAAAGAAAAUGAGUUAGAUCCAUGAUAGAAAUGAAAAUCCAUGAAUUCUGGAAGAACCACUUCAAUGUCCUCUAUUGCCUCAUAGACAGCCUGGGAAAAAGUCUCUGAAAGGGGCAUGAACUCUACCUGGAGGAAACUGUGGCCAGAUGACGAAGCAGAAAGACUGAGCAGGUCAUUGGGCUUGGAAGUUUGUGCUGAUGGUGUGAAGUAAAUAGUGGAAGAGCAUGGAGCAGAGCUUACCACAGAAGAACUGCAGGACCUUCAGAGAGAGGAGCAACACACCAGCUGAGGAAUUGUCUUCAGAGGAUGAGGGUUGGGAGGAUGGCCCUGGUUCUCUAAUAUAAGAAAUGUGUUUAAACGGGUGGAAGUGCAAAAUUUUCUUAAAGUAUCACCCUGACAAACUGUGUUAAAACCUCUUGAAUGACAAUGCUAUGUCUCACUUUAGAAACAUUUUAAUACGACAGACAAAAGCAAUCAUCUUUGGACAGGUUUCUCAUAAGAAAAGAAUCCAGUGAGUCUAAUGAGGGGGAAAAAAAAAAGAAAAAAAAAAGAAAAAAAAAAGAACCCCAGAAGCACAAUUACAGUAGAUGAAGUUGUUAUAGUAGGGGACUCCCCUGCCACACAGUAACAUCUCUCCUCCUCUAACUCACCACCUUCCACAUACAUCAUCAAGUCUCCUAAGUGCAGAUAGCUUAUGGACCCCAUUAAAUUACCAUGAUGACU